GUAAGGAAUAUUGGUCAAUGGGCGCAAGCCUGAACCAGCCAUCCUGCGUGCAGGAAGAAGGCCCUAUGGGUUGUAAACUGCUUUUGUCAGGGAAUAAACCUGUGGAUUUAUCCGCAGCUGAAGGUACCUGAAGAAUAAGCACCGGCUAACUCCGUGCCAGCAGCCGCGGUAAUACGGAGGGUGCAAGCGUUAUCCGGAAUUACUGGGUUUAAAGGGUGCGUAGGCGGCCCUGUAAGUCAGGAGUGAAAGUUUGCGGCUUAACCGUAAAAUUGCUUUUGAUACUGCAGGGCUAGAAUCAGGAUGAGGUCAGCGGAAUGUGGCAUGUAGCGGUGAAAUGCAUAGAUAUGCCAUAGAACACCAAUUGCGAAGGCAGCUGGCUAGACCUGCAUUGACGCUGAGGCACGAAAGCGUGGGGAGCGAACAGGAUUAGAAACCCGUGUAGUCC
rnacentral:rRNA from 1 species